rnacentral:rRNA from 1 species
UACGAAGGGUGCUAGCGUUGUUCGGAAUUACUGGGCGUAAAGGGCGCGUAGGCGGUCUUGUAAGUCAGAUGUGAAAGCCCCGGGCUCAACCCGGGAAUAGCAUUUGAUACUGCGAGGCUUGAGUCCGGGAGAGGAUGGCGGAAUUCCCAGUGUAGAGGUGAAAUUCGUAGAUAUUGGGAAGAACACCGGUGGCGAAGGCGGCCAUCUGGACCGGUACUGACGCUGAGGCGCGAAAGCGUGGGGAGCAAACAGG